GAUGAACGCUGGCGGCGUGCCUAACACAUGCAAGUCGAGCGAUUUACUUCGGUAAAGAGCGGCGGACGGGUGAGUAACGCGUGGGUAACCUGCCCUGUACACACGGAUAACAUACCGAAAGGUAUGCUAAUACGAGAUGAUAUGCUUUUAUCGCAUGGUAGAAGUAUCAAAGCUCUGGCGGUACAGGAUGGACCCGCGUCUGAUUAGCUAGUUGGUAAGGUGACGGCUUACCAAGGUGACGAUCAGUAGCCGACCUGAGAGGGUGAUCGGCCCCAGUGGAACUGAGACACGGCCCAAACUCCGACGGGGGGCAGCAGUGGGGAAUAUUGCAAAAGGGGCGAAAGCCUAAUGCAGCAACGCCGCGUGAGCGAUGAAGGCCUUGGGGUAGAAAAGCUCUGUCCUCAAGGAAGAUAAUGACGGUACUUGAGGAGGAAGCCCCGGCUAACUACGUGCCAGCCGCCGCCGUAA
rnacentral:rRNA from 1 species